UACGUAGGCAGCGAGCGUUGUUCGGAGUUACUGGGCGUAAAGGGUGCGUAGGCGGGUGUUUAAGUUUGGGGUGAAAUCUCCCGGCUCAACUGGGAGGGUGCGCCGAAUACUGAAUGACUAGAGUGCGGGAGAGGAGAGUGGAAUUCCUGGUGUAGCGGUGAAAUGCGUAGAUAUCAGGAGGAACACCGGUGGUGUAGACGGCUCUCUGGACCGUAACUGACGCUGAGGCACGAAAGCGUGGGUAGCAAACAGG
rnacentral:rRNA from 1 species